rnacentral:rRNA from 1 species
ACGGGAGGCAGCAGUGGGGAAUAUUGCAUAAUGGGCGCAAGCCUGAUGCAGCAACGCCGCGUGAGGGAUGACGGUCUUCGGAUUGUAAACCUUUGUCUUUGGUGAAGAAGAAAGUGACGGUAACCAAGGAGGAAGCCACGGCUAACUACGUGCCAGCAGCCGCGGUAAUACGUAGGUGGCAAGCGCUGUCCGGAAUUACUGGGUGUAAAGGGAGCGCAGGCGGGACUGCAAGAUGGAUGUGAAAUACCGAGGCUCAACCUCGGAGCUGCAUCCAAAACUGUAGUUCUUGAGUGGAGUAGAGGUAAGCGGAAUUCCGAGUGUAGCGGUGAAAUGCGUAGAUAUUCGGAGGAACACCAGUGGUGAAGGCGGCUUACUGGGCUCUAACUGACGCUGAGGCUCGAAAGUGUGGGGAGCAAACAGGAUUAGAUACCCUGGUA